AUGCUGGAGACCCCAGUUCAAUUCCUGGGUCAGGAGAUCUGCUGGAGAUGGGAUAGGCUACCCAGUUUCCAUUUGGCUCCCCAGGAACCAUCAGUGGAACAAGUUACUGGGAAUGUGUUGAGUCUCCUUAACUGGGGAGAGGACCCAAGGAUGUUACCAUUCAUGUUGAAGAGUGUUACCCCCGUGGAGAGCACAGACCUUAGAAGAGAUAAGAGCUCCGAAGAGCCGACAGAAAGUCCUUGUCGCAAACGUGAGAAGGAAAAUCAGAACAAGUGGAAUAUUCUAGAUUGUAAAGAAGGUAACACUUCAGUGACCUCGAGAGAGCACCUUUUGGAGCAUGGAUUAGGAUGGUAUGAGGUCAGGAUUGACUGGACAAAGAUGGAUGAGCAAUGAUACUGCUUUGAAGGAAUCCUAAGAUGCACAAUUUUUCAAAAUGCUGCAAGCUAGUAGAUGACAUGGAAGAAUAAACACAUGAUCAGAAACUAAAGAAAGCUGACGUGGAAGAAAAGAAGAAAAAGAUGAAAGCAAUUGGAUCAAUUCACAGAAACCAUAUCAGGUAAUUCCUAUACUUUUGCUUGUUUGUCUAUUAUGUGUAGAUGUGUGUCUGCUGAGAGUGAGGGUUGAGUAAGAAGGAAGAGAAAGGACAGUGGAGAGGAAAACAAACUCAGAUUCAAAUAUAUCAGGCACUUCGAUCAUCAGUAGAUAAGUCCAUUUCCUCUCAGCUGAAGGUGGCGGCAUGCUCUGAAAGAUCUCAGUAACAAAUUGUCCCUGUCAUAAGUGAGCUCCAGUUUUCCUUAUCACCGUAGCAAAAGGCAGGAUGAAUCUCAUUGCCUAUUGCAAGAGCAAAUAACCUCCCCAUAGUAGAUAUGGACCAAAUUGAAUCGUUCUGGAUCCCUUCACUUUUCAUCUUGUUAACUGUAUGCCAAUUUGGAUAUUUUGGCCAUGAGCAGUUUGUGGAAGCUGACUUCCACAAAGUCACCGCACUAGAAUCAUAACAUAAUUUGGGCAUUUACAGAUCAUGGCGACAUUUUCUGCAGACUUCUUGGAAAGAAGUCAGAUUGUUUUUCAAAGAAGUAUACUAGAAAAAGUAAUCCGUCUUUCUACUGAAUACAAUUUUGUCUCUCUUGCUAGCAGCUAAACUCUAUCUUCUAACUGAAAGUAGAGCUUUAGAUUAAAGCCAAAGCCAGUUUUGGAUUGAAAUAAUACUUAGAAGACAGGGAGGGAAGAGAUGGAAGAAAUCUGUCUAUGGUAGCAUCAUUGUACAGUUGAUCAAGUCUUCUGAGCUAGUGAUUUCCCUUCAUUGUUUAAGAUAAUCUGAGUUUAAUUUACCAGUACAUUAAGAGAUUUGUGUAUAAUACACUGUCCUAGAAAAUGACAGCUUCUAUUCACUUUCUAUCUGAUAAUAUUUCUCAGUAGAAAAUCCCCAUUUUCUUAUUUCCGUUAUUACAAAAUUACAUAAUUUGUCUAUUCAAGUUCAAGUUUAGUUAUUUUCUUACCUGAUAAUGUGAUUUCAGUUCUUUCAACCAGAUCCCAUGUCUGCUUUUAAAUUUAAAAUUUUCUGUUUGUUUUUUAUAUUUUUCUCACAUAACUAGGCAUUUCUUAGUGAACAAUAGAUUCUUCUCCCACUAGUUCAUUAUAUAUGGUCCUUCCAUCUCAUACCCUUAUUUAGCAUUGUUUCAGUGUAAAAUAGAACCCCUGAGAGGUAAUAAGAUAACUUCCCACAGCUACGAUUUAUCUUAAAAGAAUAAAAGACAUAAGCCCCAGAGAGAGUCAGUUUACAUGAUGGUGGAGUUUAGUAUUAGAAAAUAAGAAUUUGAAACCUUUGUUAAAUGGAAAAUAAAAGCAACAAUUUUUAGCUAUUGUCAUCUAGAUUAAAAGUAGUAUCAUAUUUCGAUUCUAAUGAAUUAAAAUAAAUUCAUUUGCAAGUUGAUUCUAUUUUUCAGCUCCCUUGAAGUCUCUAAGUUUUUAGUUUCUCAGUAUCUAAAAUUUGAGUGUUUAAUGCUAACAUUAAAUUCGGCAGUUUGUAUAUUUUCACUAGGCUUCCCUGCUGGCUCAGUUGGCAAAGAGUCCGCUGGCAAUGCAGGAGACCUGGGUUGGAUCCCUGGGUCAGGAAGAUCCCCUGGAGAAGGAAAUGGCAACCCACUCCAGUAUUCUUGCCUGGAGAAUUCCAUGGACAGAGGAGCCUGGUGAGCUGCAGUCCAUUGGGUCACAAAGGGUCGGACACGACUAAGUGAUUUUCACUCACGUCACAUUUUCAUUAAAGUAUUUCUUGGAAAGUUUUGAUAAAAGAGUAGAUUUGAAAAUUUUGCCCACA
ensembl:lncRNA